UACAGGGGGUGCAAACGUUGCUCGGAAUUAUUGGGCGUAAAGCGCGCGUAGGCGGCUACCUAAGUCGGAUGUGAAAGCCCCUGGCUCAACUGGGGAAGUGCACCCGAAACUGAGUAGCUAGAGUACGAAAAGAGGGUCGCGGAAUUCCCGGUGUAGAGGUGAAAAUUCGUAGAUAUCGGGAGGAACACCGGUGGCGAAGGCGGCGACCUGGGUCGAUACUGACGCUGAGGCGCGAAAACGUGGGGGAGCAAACAGGG
rnacentral:rRNA from 1 species